rnacentral:rRNA from 1 species
GAUGAACGCUGGCGGCGUGCUUAACACAUGCAAGUCGAACGGGAUCCAUCAGGCUUUGCUUGGUGGUGAGAGUGGCGAACGGGUGAGUAAUGCGUGACCGACCUGCCCCAUACACCGGAAUAGCUCCUGGAAACGGGUGGUAAUGCCGGAUGCUCCGACUCCUCGCAUGGGGUGUCGGGAAAGAUUUCAUCGGUAUGGGAUGGGGUCGCGUCCUAUCAGGUAGUCGGCGGGGUAACGGCCCACCGAGCCUACGACGGGUAGCCGGCCUGGGAGGGCGACCGGCCACAUUGGGACUGAGAUACGGCCCAGACUCCUACGGGAGGCAGCAGUGGGGAAUAUUGCACAAUGGGCGCAAGCCUGAUGCAGCGACGCCGCGUGCGGGAUGACGGCCUUCGGGUUGUAAACCGCUUUUGAUCGGGAGCAAGCCUUCGGGUGAGUGUAC